rnacentral:rRNA from 1 species
GAUCAUGGCUCAGGAUGAACGCUGGCUACAGGCUUAACACAUGCAAGUCGAGGGGCAGCAUUUUUAUAGCAAUAUAAAAGAUGGCGACCGGCGCACGGGUGAGUAACACGUAUCCAACCUGCCGAUAACUCGGGGAUAACCCUUCGAAAGAAGGCCUAAUACCCGAUGGCAUAUCCCUUCCGCCUGGUUGGGAUAUUAAAGAACUUCGGUUAUCGAUGGGGAUGCGUUCCAUUAACUUGUUGGCGGGGUAACGG